rnacentral:rRNA from 1 species
CCCUUAGUAACGGCGAGCGAAAAGGGAAGAGUCCAGCGCCAAGUCUUGACGCCCGAGCGUUCAAGAGAUGCGGCGUUAAUGUAUUAUCGCAUCGUACAUUGUUGCCUGUUUCAAGUUCCCUUGACAGGGACAUCCAUAGCGGGUGCUAGGCCCAUAGAGGCAGGUGACCAGUGUGCGCAGAUAAUGCAUUCUAGAGUCAGGUUGCUUGAGAGUGCAGCUUAAAGUGGGUGGUAAACUCCAUCUAAGGCUAAAUAUGACAGCGAGACCGAUAGCAAACAAGUACCGUGAGGGAAAGUUGCAAAGCACUUUGAAGAGAGAGUUCAACAGUACGUGAAACCACUGGGAGGCAAACAGAUGGAACCACGAAGUUGCGCCUCGCUCGAUUCAAUCAUUGAUACUGGUUACCGGUUCUUGUGUGGAUCUUUUCGGAGAUUAGCAAGUGUCGUGGAACUGGCUUCAAUGGUGCAUUUCGUGUGAGGAUGCUAAGCCACGUUCGAUUAGAGUUGGGACGGCCGUAGGACAGAAUUCGAGAAAGGUGACCGGAAAGUGCUUGCAUUUUUCGGUGUUAUAGUCUUGAAUUGGUACCGUCGCCUAACAAACUGAUCGAUAGAAAUUCUCCUUAGGAGUUUAACUGUGUCUGCCUGUGACCGUUAGUCAACGUUUCGAAGUGUUCUUUACGCAUCUUUGGUGUGGAAAGGCAUUUCAACGAUGUUGGUUAGUGGCUGCUUGCGUGACAUGGUGGAACUGUGGCGCGAGUAGGUCGGUUUCCCUCUGACCC